rnacentral:rRNA from 1 species
UACGUAGGGGGCAAGCGUUGUCCGGAUUUACUGGGCGUAAAGAGCGCGCAGGCGGUCGUACAAGUCGCGUGUGAAAGCCCCCGGCUCAACUGGGGAGGGUCACGCGAUACUGUUCGACUCGAAGGCAGGAGAGGGAAGCAGAAUUCCCGGUGUAGUGGUGAAUGCGUAGAUAUCGGGAGGAAUACCAGUGGCGAAGGCGGCUUCCUGGCCUGUUCUUGACGCUGAGGCGCGAAAGCUAGGGUAGCAAACGGG